AGUAGCAGAAAACCCUUAUAGAGAGGUAGUGUUGCUGCUUGGGGGUAUUGGUUGUAAGAAGUUGUGGCUCAGUCUGUUAUGAACUUGGCUGAGAUAAACCAUUCUUUGCACUCUCCUCUGGAGUCUUUUAUAGUGGUUGUUCUUAAAGGGUUGAGAAGGCCCUUGGUAAUUAAAGGCUCUCAUCUUGAAGACAAUAGUGGAGUGGUUGUAGUUUCUGGACUCUGUGACACCCCCUCCUAGUGUUGUGAUUCCUUAUGAGGAAGGCAGGCUGUUCAACCGGUGUGAUGGAGCCAUCCAAAUGGAGCUGAACCUGGAUGGGAUAAGCUCUCUCUUAUGGGAAAGGAUGUCUCUGCUGUCUCACAACCUUCUGUAGCUGUUGGUUCAGUGAAAAAGGGAUAUGAAAUGCUAAGUCAAUGAUUCUUACUGGGACAGAGGAAUAGCGGUAUAUGGUGCCCAGAGGAAAGCUCUGGUAGGAGCUGCAGUCUUUCUAUACAAAUGGGUCUUCAGACUGGUGUUUCUGCACCCUUUCCAGGCCAUGGUACCAGAAUUACAGAUCCUGGGCAUUAGUGAACUCCCAUGGAAGGAUUUUUCUGUCAGAAGAUGCCUGUAGCCUGGUGAUGACAACUCACUCCUGCUCUUCUCCUACCUGACAAGGAAUUGAGAAGUUUUCAGAAGCUGUUUAAGUUUUGUAUCUACCAAGGAGUCUAAGCAUGAAAUGCCAGUGCACAUGGUCUUUCCAUGAAGCUCUUGCCUUUCCUGCAGGAACAGCAGCUUGGCAACAGGUGAGCAGGAUGCCAUCCCUCCCAGCAGCAGGUGCCAGGGGGGAGGCAGGUGAAAGGAGACUGUGCAAGGUUUCUGCCUCACAGAGGGAGGGAAGAGGCUUCAUUGAUUUCCUACUCUUGCUCAGUGCUCCUUAACCUCAGGCUGUACUGUAAUUUCUGUAAAUUCAGUACAAAGCCCUGAUCCAAGGAAUGGAUGAUAAGAGACAGCCUUGAAAUGAGAAGAGCUUUAUUUGAAUAUCAGUGUAGGUCCUGGGCUAGAGAUAAUAGGUCUAGGGUGCUUCCUGAAGGCAGGUGGGGCCCUGGAAGGCAAAUCUGGCUGGCCUUAACACCUCGGGCCUUACUAUAGACACAUUAUCUGUGGCGGGCUUCUCUAGAAUCUCUUCUUCCUGAAGUAUUAGCAUAGACAUGUAUUUGCAAGAGACUGGCCACUUACCAGUAACCUGGAAAGAGGUUUUGACAGGGCUUGGCUGUGCAGAGAACAAACGUGAUUUUUUUAAUAUUUUUUUCUCCAAAAGCUGGUACUCUGUGAGGGCCUCUGGCUUACUCCCUUGGGAUGUGGGGAUGUGAAUUCUUUGGAGCAAUUGCUGUUUAGUGUGGAGAGAAACAGAGACUUUCUAAAAUCAGGGGAUGUUUUACCACUGAGUUCAAGCUGUUGUGGUUUGGAGCAGUAAAGCAGAACUUGCUCAGGUAGUUCAGUGACUUCAGUGUCAGCAUUAAAGAUGAGCAAAAAUCUGUAAAGGGAGGGAAAUUGAGUCAGUUAUUUAGCUUCUUCUGGCUAUUAACUUGUAGAACAAACCUUGGAUAAUGUAAAGGAAAAAGAUUGAAGAGGCCCGGGUGGAUGGCUGAAGCACUUCUGCUCAUACCCAGGCUGUGCAGAGCCUGCUCAGAGCUGAGCUUCUUCGUUCACAACAGUUUGUACAAGGGCUGAGAGCAUGUCUCUGUUGGGACCUGGCAACAGCUGGCAGUCGCUGCUGCCUCUGCAUGCAUCUUCUUGCUCUUGGUGAGUCCCUUCUGUGGGUGCUGGAGUGAGGCAGCUGCUAUGCCCAGAGCCACUGAUGCCCCUGUGGUGGCUGAGCCCUGUUGCACCCGGUCCUUAAGGCUCUGGGGCCGGGAUGUUUCUGGCCAGUCCCAUGUUGCCAGCAGUCCUGCACCAACAGUGCUGUGCUUGUGGUCCCCAAGGGCACUGAGGUGGGAAGACCAUGAGGAGGGCAGUGCUUGAAGGCAGCUCUAGCUGCAUCCUGCCUUGCCCUCAAUUAGCAGAGCGUGCAUGAGGACAAUAGUCCAGCCACAGAGGAAACUCAGGGAUGCCUGAGCGUGAGCAUUUCUGUGCCAUGCUGUGUGGGACACUCAGGAACUGCUGGGAGCACCAGGGCCUGCUAGAAAGAUGCUGCAGGGCUCUUUCUGACAGGACAUGUCUUCAGAAGUGAACAUGGUGCCACAGGGCUUGCUGUCAAGCUUACUGGGUGCUGACUGCAGGUCACAAAGCCACCCACAGCUAGUCUGUCCCAGUUUAUUGCAGUCCUGUUUUCUGCUGUUCUUGGCAGAGGCAUCUGGUGUUGUCUCCCUGCCUUUCUCCACAAGGCAUGAACCCCACACUGUGCCUUGCAGCUGCACUGACUAGCUUGUCAUCUUCCAGUAACUGCUUGUUUUCCCCCAGUGGAAGAGAAAGUGUUUUGGUAAUCCCAACGAAUGAAGGGGCUUUCUUAAUUAAAGUAAUAAUCUAAAAGUUGUCAUUGAUAAGAGUGUAAACAAGCUGAUUGCAGUGGGCGCUUGAAUAGCUCUAAUGAGCACGUGUGGGUAUUAAAUUAACCAUGGUUCACAAGCCAUGCAUGGCUGUACAGUUAUUUAGAAAUAACCAAUUUUCCCUGGUGCUCGACCCUGCCUACCACCCCAAAAACCUUGUCUUUCUACAGCAUUGCACAACAGAAAGGAAUCUGCUUCUCUCACAAGUCUCUUGGGCUUUACAGUAAUUUAUUGCUUUUAAGGGAGCUGGUAAGGCAGCCUGUGCUGUUGGCAUUUUUCCCUUAGAUGAAGUGCUACCCAGUGGGUGGAGCAUGGGUGUUCAGCAUCAACUUGUCCUUGCUGGUGGGUUGUCCCAGGGUCCUCAGAGGUGGCACUUCACUGCUGGACAUGGUGGACAGCCCUAUCUGUGAAAUGGGACAACAAUGGCUCUUGCAAGGCUGUUGUGCUGUUAACGAGCUCCUUGGAGGAAGAGCCCUACAGAAGUGCAAAUGAUCUCCUUACUUGCUGUUAAUUAUUGAUAUUUAUUCAUUGCAAUAAGCAGAGUGGAAACAGUAGGGUUAUGGUAGACUCAGCUGAUCUGCAAGUGAGUGCAAGUACAGUGGGUUCUUGUGGUGGUCGCAAGAAGGAGCUUCUGGAUCUGCAGCUCUCAUCUGUUUAUGCUGGUGGGCAUCUGAAAAAGUUUUGCCUCUCCAGGCCCAGGAACAUCUCCAUGAUUUGAUUGAAAGAGUCUUGCAUGUGUACCAGCCAUCUUUUGGAAUGGAAACAAAAUGUUAAACUUAUUGUGAUAUUGAAUGGCUUUCCUGGGUGAUCCUGUAUACAGCUUAAAAUGGUGAAGGAGGAUAAAACUGCAGGGUGCCGUUUGGCUUCCAGAGAUUAAAGUACAGCUUUUUCCCUGAUGGAGAGGAACUCAGAGUUUGUGUGCUGCUAUAUACUGGAGGCAGUUGGACCUGAUCUCCCAUUUUAAUACCAACUUGUUCUCCUUUGCUGUCCUUUCAAAUUAUCAUACUAUGACAUGGAAAAUCAGCUUCCUGCUAACUCCCGUUUCACUACAAAUAGCCUCCUUUCUUUUGAGUGCUCUGAGAUUUGGCAAAGAGCUAAGGUAGAGGGGAGAUGCUGAAUCUGUGACAUUACCAAAGGCAACUAUAGAUCUUUGUUUCAUGAUGCAAGUCAGUUUAAACAAAAAAGAAAUAUCCUACUUAUUGUGUGCUCCCUGUUCCCAACUUGUCACAUCUACAUUUAUUUUUUUUCCCCUGUUGGGAUAACAAGUAGUGGCUUUAGGAAACUGCUAUAGCUUCAUCUGUGUAUAUCCCUCUACAUCUUUCAUUCAUCUGCUAUGUUAUUAUCACAGGUGUUAGGCUCUUCUGUGUCUGUAUGGUCAUCAGACAAAUGAAUAACCAGUGUAACCUUGGCUUUGAAUAUCUUUGUGUUUACGAAGAUGUCAUCUUUUUAUCUGCAAAAAGUAAGGGAGGAGGUUUCUGAGGGGGCUGUUUCCUUCCACUUUCUCCAGUUGGCACUAUUUGAUGUGGUGUGUGUUUGCGUAUCUCAUGUGCAUCCCCUUUUCACCUGUCAGUUGGGAUCAUAUAUCCAUGCCCUGGUGAGUGAGUUGUGGGAAGGCUGUCACUGUGCUCUGGGACAGUCUUGCUUCCAGCUCAGGCAUCUUGGAAACACAGAUCUGCAGCACCUUGCUCUGCUGGGCCUUCUCUCUCUCUCUUUUUUUUUUUCUUUUAAGUCCUUGGAAGCACAAGAACUGUCUUCAGGCCCACACAGGAUCAGAUGGGUUUUUCUUGUGAGGUCAGCAGUGUGAAGAUAGAUGUGAAACUCUGCACUUUUCUUGUCUGCCCUGACAAAGACAGCUCCAUGAAAAAGUGUUGCACUCCCCAGAAGUAGGAGAUGUAAAGAAUGGGAGAAGAAAAGGGAUUUGUCCAAUCUUUUCCAGUAAAUCAUUGGAAGAGUUGGAUAAGUCUUCAUCCCUGAGCCCUUGCAUUUUCUGUUCAGUACUGUUAAGUGAAGUAGCUGGAAUGUGUGAAGAAAAAAGCCUGACCCCCAUGUCAGAGCUGAUACAGGCCAGAAGUAUCCCUGUUCUUUCUCUGACAGAGUUAAUGGUUCCUGAUCUCCUGGGCUGGCUGCUUGCCUAAGCAUCUCUGUGGUGCUACAGUGUGGGCUCUUCCUGAGAGGCCUGGUGCUAAAUAAUUCUGUCUUGAAAGGAGAAAACAAAACUAGUAGGGAUGUUUUAGUAGAGAAGCGUGCUGUGCAUGCAUUUGGGUUAACAUUGGAAGUCCCAGUUGGAAUUUCUACACCUGUGUGUGAUUUGUCUGGAUCACUUCCCUUUCCUAACAAAGAAAAGGCAACAUUGCCCUGCUGCUUGUGAAGCACUCUCCUGGCAGCCCCAUGCCUGUUCAACUUGCGCAAGUCCAAACUAGGCAGCUAGACAAACUAGGAAGACAGCUGUGUGCUAAGCUUGCUGCUCACUACCCUGCUCUGAGGACAAGGUCUGGAUCCCCAGGAACUGUGGGGAGCUACAACCUUCAGGUAUAUUUCUUCUGUGGCAUAGACCAAGGCUUACUGAAGAUUCCUAGUUUCAAGGUUUAGCAGGAGCUGCCAUUUCACACUGCCAGCCAAGAGUCUGCAUAUAUGCAAUAUAAUUAACACCAGAAAUUCUGACUCCUGAGGCUAUAGGGUUAAACAAAUGUGUCCCCAUUAAACUUGAAUAAUAAGAGGUUAACUCAUUAGGAAAAGAACACUCUUGAUGUGCUUAAUGGAGGAAGAGAAUGUUAACUCUUACAGUUCCGUGCCAACACUCACAUUAGUUUAACUUUUGUUUGAAUGUUAAUUUUUCUUCUAUAAGAUACUCUACAAAAUCCCCCAAACGAUCUCCUGUGUGUUUUGUAUGAAUCAUAUUUGAUUUCCUGAUUAUUGGUCUGCUUGUCUCCUUUGGAGUCUUUAAAAAUGUCUUGUUGUGGUGAUGGUUGUUUGUAUUUUUAAAAAUAAUGUGCAAUGCAGAACUUCUGCGGAGCAAAGGUAAAUCCUGAAAACUGCCCAUUUGAAUGUCCAGUAGCAACAAUUUGCACGCCUGUGUCUUUCCUGUUUUAUUCUUGCAUUUCUUGAAAAAAUAUGCGGGAAAGACGUAGAGGUCCUAUGUCAUAAGCGAAUGGUCUGCAAAUUAACAUUUUUCAUCAAAGUGAUUUUAAUUGUAAAAGUGCACACACAAAAAAAUAAAGACCUAAUAUUUGCCAUUCCAAAAACGGUUAACUUUUUAACAGGUGUACCUUGCUUGUAAACCUCUGCUUGCAGCUGUUUUGGGCUAAGGACUUACUAGAUAUACUCAUCCCUGUCUGGUCAUGGAGUUCAAGGCUCACUGACACUCAUCAGUGUAGAAUGGAUUUACCUGAGUUAUGCAAAAGAUGCCAAAUUCAAAGGAAAACAGAUGCUAUACACAAAAGUGAAUACAGCCAAGGCAGAAGCUUGGAAGUCUAAUAGUACUCUGACAUCAGCAAACCCUAUGCUUGUAGCUGCAGAAAGCCUUUGGUGUUCCCCAAAUGCUGUUCUCUAUAGAAGAGAGCAUGCAUUCUUGCAUGAAAAUAUAAAUCUGGUGGAGCUGAUUACUUUUUUUUACCCUGGACAGUGAUGGAAGUAAGCAAAUUUCAGCUCCUACAGCCAUUUUGUCCUACUCUACAGCAGUGCUCAGCAAUGAACACAUUUGGGUGCUGUUGCCCAGCAGAAGUGUCUCUGGGAA